rnacentral:rRNA from 1 species
GGUUAAGCGACUAAGCGUACACGGUGGAUGCCCUGGCAGUCAGAGGCGAUGAAGGACGUGCUAAUCUGCGAUAAGCGUCGGUAAGGUGAUAUGAACCGUUAUAACCGGCGAUUUCCGAAUGGGGAAACCCAGUGUGAUUUGUCACACUAUCAUUAACUGAAUCCAUAGGUUAAUGAGGCGAACCGGGGGAACUGAAACAUCUAAGUACCCCGAGGAAAAGAAAUCAACCGAGAUUCCCCCAGUAGCGGCGAGCGAACGGGGAGGAGCCCAGAGCCUGAAUCAGUGUGUGUGUUAGUGGAAGCGUCUGGAAAGGCGCGCGAUACAGGGUGACAGCCCCGUACACAAAAAUGCACAUGCUGUGAGCUCGAUGAGUAGGGCGGGACACGUGGUAUCCUGUCUGAAUAUGGGGGGACCAUCCUCCAAGGCUAAAUACUCCUGACUGACCGAUAGUGAACCAGUACCGUGAGGGAAAGGCGAAAAGAACCCCGGCGAGGGGAGUGAAAAAGAACCUGAAACCGUGUACGUACAAGCAGUGGGAGCACGCUU